rnacentral:rRNA from 1 species
GUGGGGAAUAUUGCACAAUGGGCGCAAGCCUGAUGCAGCAACGCCGCGUGAGGGAUGACGGCCUUCGGGUUGUAAACCUCUUUUAGUAGGGAAGAAGCGAAAGUGACGGUACCUGUAGAAAAAGCACCGGCUAACUACGUGCCAGCAGCCGCGGUAAUACGUAGGGUGCAAGCGUUGUCCGGAAUUAUUGGGCGUAAAGAGCUCGUAGGCGGCUUGUCGCGUCUGCUGUGAAAUCCCGGGGCUCAACCCCGGGCCUGCAGUGGGUACGGGCGGGCUAGAGUGCGGUAGGGGAGAUUGGAAUUCCUGGUGUAGCGGUGGAAUGCGCAGAUAUCAGGAGGAACACCGAUGGCGAAGGCAGAUCUCUGGGCCGCUACUGACGCUGAGGAGCGAAAGCAUGGGGAGCGAACAGGAUUAGAAACCCGUGUAGUCC